GUCAGAGAUGGAGGCAGAGCGACAGGAACCGAGAGAGAGAGAGAACAAAGUUUAAGACUCUUUGUGUCACUUUUGCUGCUGCAAAACGCUCUAGGUAGCUCCGGGCGGAACAUUGCAACAUCAGUCGAGGCGGAGUGGCAUGGGGCUUGGCUCCGGGUUCGGGUUCGGGGUUGAGUCCCGGCUCCGGAAACGCAUGGCCAAAGGGCAAAAGUCGCCGCUGUUCCUCAUCGUCGUCGUCGUCGUCGCCGCAUAAUAAUGUCAGAGACGGGCGACGUCUUUUUCCUGCUGUAAAUUGCAAAAAUGCAGCCAGAGGAUAUGCACAUGUGCACAUGUGUGCAGCUUUUUCCAUGUUUAUUUUCCACUCUUCCUCUCUUUUUGUUGCAGGUUUCAAGACCAAACGGAAGCCAACUCAUGCCCCCACAAGCUGCAGCAUCCAAAACAGCUACACCACCAUCGGUGGAAAAAAGUACGAGUUCUUCUGUAUAGAAAAACACAGGAGGCCUGGCAAAAAAAGUUUAUGUACAUUUAAUUCACGGCAGCAGGCUACAAGGAAACAGCACAAUAAAUCCAGGAUACAUUAAGUUACACCGACAUAGAGGGGUGGGGAGGGGUUACAGAUACAGAGGCAUGGGGCAUGGGACAGAGACACAGACAGACAGACUACAGGGCAUAUGGAGGCGAGCGGUCAACUUCCUCUUUCGUGUUUUGGCACACCAAAGUUUUUACAGAGAAAAACAGGGUAUGAAAGGGAAGUAAGAGCCUAUUAAUGGAUCAAAAAUAUUAUAAAUCUUGAUUUUGAUUUAUGAUUAUAGGACCUACAAUAUAUACAACCAAUUAAUCUCAGGGCUCUCAAGAAUGUUCUCUUAUAUCAGAAUCAUUAAAAUGUAAAUUUUCGUAAAAGUAAGCAAGUAAGCUUUAAAGAUAUUUGAAUAUUUGUAAUCUUUCAAAAACGGUAUCGAAAGAUUGCCGAGCAUGCGUGAACUUAAAACAUAUAAUAUAUAAAAUAAUUUAUUCAUCUAAAGACCAAUUAAUGGGCAUCCUGUAGGUGUACUUCUGCGGAGCUCUGCUCCUCUUGUUGUUGUCUGUUUAUGAAAUUUGACCAUCAUGUGCAUAUAUGUAAGUGUAUGUUUGUGUGUGUUCUUAUGCGCGUAUCCUGUUCAUCUAUGUGUGUGUGAAUUCCACCGGAAGUUAAACAUGGCAAAGGGCUGGGGGAGUGGCCGGUGGUUCGUGUGUGUGUGAGUUUGUGUAUGUGAUUACGACAACGGCUGCUGCGGCAACGGGCAGCGGAGCCAAACGCUGCAUGCUCAUAAUAAUUUCUUAUUUAGUGAACCAUCAGGUGAUGGGCGCCACAAUGGAGCACACACACCCGCUGACCCACUGCUGACCUACCUCCCGCACCUACUACCGCCACUGACAUGUUGUUCAGCUAUUUUGCCGCUUGAUUUUCUCUUUUUUCAGUUCAGACUCAGAACCAGAACCAGACCUCGACCUCUGUCGUCCUCCUGCUCUGUUCCGCUGUUUGUGUGUCAGAUUUGUUCAGUUUUUCCAGCUGUCAGUGUUGCUGUUUUUCUCGCUGUUUGUCCGGCUCCAUGGAAGGUAUUUAAAUUCAAAUUAGGCAAAUGUCAUGUUUCAUUCUGGUGACAAGCCAAUGACAAGAAAAGAAGUUCAACUGGAAUCCACACAAUGCAGAUCCCAGCCAAAUGUGUGGAGAAAAUUAAAUUUGUGCCACUGAUAAGCAAUACAAUUUGUUCAUACGUUCACAUAGCACAUAUGUAUGUAUAUUUCACAGAUGUGUGAUUCUGGGGAGUAGAGAACAUCUUGAAAUGGAUGUGUGUCAAGUGGGGGAACAACCUGGAGCGGGGAGUGUUGACCCAAUUCGUGUUGGCCACUUGAAAUGAGUUUUUGCUGCUCCUAAUGCGCUUAACCACAUAAAAUUUAAUUCAAAUCAGCUCAUUAAAUGCCUGCCACACUUGACACACGUACACAAAUACGCAGAAUACUUGGAAAAGCAGCUAUUAAAGGAGGAACAUUGGAGCCAACGACAGGAAAACAUUUGGUUUUUUCUGUUCGGCUCAGAGAUGGGGGGAGCCGCCGUAAAGGAGAGUUUAUGGAGCCACAUUAAAGUGCGGAAGUAAGUAGCACAGAAAGGACGAGGGCCACGAAAACACACACAAAAAAGGACAAGUACAUACGAAGAGAAACUAAAAAUGCAGCAGCCUCCUUCUGCCCCCACAAAAAAAAAAAAAAAACGGACAAGGAACAAACAACGUGGAAAGUCAGACACAUUAAAGAUGAUAUAUUCGUUAGAUGGCAGUCAGAGCAUGAGAAAUAUUUUAUGGACCUGAGGGCCGGACUUUCCACAGCAGGAACUUUAGAGCGGUCAAUAAGUUGGUUCCCUCUUUUUAUGAUAAUUUUUAAACAUUUUUUACUAAUCACAAAUGUUGAUUGUCUUCUGUACGAACCCCAUAUUUUAUUAGGGGGAACACCAUUUUGUUUUAUUUCAAAAGAUCGUAAUCAUAAUGUUUCUGUUUUUUGGUUUUUAUCUUUGGUAAUUUUCGAAGACUUAUGAGGCGUCUGACUGAAAGACAGUAAUUUCCAGUAGGAGGAAAAGCUAUUGCUCAAGCCAUGAAAUUGUUACUUUUCCAUGACUAAUUUUUCAAGUUUUCUAGUUCUCUUUUUACGCUACAUAUUUUUUCAUUUUAUUCAUACAUUUCAACGUUAAAAGAUGACGAUUUUUAGUUUAAUUUUUGUAUUAUUCUUUGUUCGCUUGGUAUUAGCGAAGAGGCAGAAUCAUUGGGUUCAUAUAUUAAAAGAUCCGAAUGGCCGACUAUAUAGGACCUAUGACCCUGAGGCUUACAAAGUUACAGUACCAACAGUAGCAUAGCAGAUGCCACUUCAACUGUUUCCCCCUAAAACAAUUAUUUGACCCAUCUUUCAGGAACUCUACCACUUGCUAACCUCAUCAAAAUAAUCUUUCGCUUCGCCUUGUUUCUCUUUUUUUUUUUGUGACGCCAACAAGUGUGGCACUUGAUCUUUUCCUUGCCACUUGCCAGGACACUCGGAUUGUGAUUGAGUGUGCAAGAGAGCCCGUUGGCAGCAGCCCGGAGUAUAAGAGAGAACCAGAGAACUCAUCGCACAUGCUGACCAACGUCCUGAUGCCUUUUGUUUGGUCAUUUUUGGGGGAGUGUGAGUGAUGGAAAUUUCGAUGAUGUCCAUUCAACAAUGCGAGUUUAUUGAGGAGUAGCAAAAGGAAUUUAAUUUUGUGCGAAACUUUUCCUAGGAGGGGGCAAGGACACUAUUGUCAUCAGUGGAGCAUCAGCUGUCCCUCGGCUAUCCUACUCCUCCUACUUCUGAUUUUGCUGCUUCUCUCUUUAUGCAUCUGACAUUGGAUAGAUAAAACCCAAUUUGUUGCAAAUAAAAUAAAAAACAAUGCCGGCAAGCAAAUGGACAUAAGACUUAGACUUUCCUUGUUGCAUCAGCGUCAUCCGCUGAAGGGAUAGGGAAAGCAACCGAAGGAGUUUCAAUCGAGCAAAUUCCUAGCAAAUUGCCACUUGAAAUAGGAAUCGACGACGAGAUCUCCGCAGGGCUGGGCUCCACUUGACAAAGAAAUCGAAAAUCAAUGCCGAAUUAGAAAUUGGAAAACGCAUUUGGCAUAAUUUCAAUGUUUUCCCUUUGCUGUAUUUACAAUUCGUUUAUGCAAAGUCUGCUCUUCCGCUCUUCUCCGAGGGAAAUCCCACACAGAGAUACAUAUACCUGUACGAGUAUAUACUUUACGUGCACAUAUAAGAAUAUUUUCCAUUUCGUACAGGUAAUCGAUUUCCAUGCUUGUGGCGAAAUGUACAAAAGAACUGAAACGAGCAGAAAGUAAACCAACUUUGUUGUGUGUUUUCAUUUCUUUUUUAUUCGCUUUCGUUUUUCUGGAUUUGGUUUUCACCAGAACCUUAUUCUUAUGUGAGAGGGGCAUCCGUUGCGUAAACUUGAUAUUUAUGUUGAAAACUUAAAGCAUUUAAGAGCUCGUCGAGCUU
rnacentral:sRNA from 1 species